rnacentral:lncRNA from 1 species
ACACUGUGUUCCGAGACGUCUCCACUGAGCAGAGGGCUGGCUGAGCGACCGGUCUCGGCCUCCCCCCCCUCCCCAGCCCCACAGGCUGGGCACAACAACAAUCAGCCUGUGGUGGUGGGGCCCGGCUUCGAUGAGUCACCUUGCCCACAGCGGGCCUUGCUGGGAGAUGUUAUCAGCGCUUCUGCUCACUUAAUUCCCUGGUUGACAUCACCACCGCCUCCAUCCUUUCCUUCUCGGCACUGCAGCCUGCAGCCUGGCGCAUCCUGGAAGAGAAGGCGGUGCAGGGCUCUUGCCAGGAGCUACCAGGGCGGUGCUGAUCCAGUGUGGUCAGUGGCACACGGAGGAUGCUAUGGGCUCAGCAGAGUGGUGAGUGACAGGGGUGACCAGAGACUGUGCUGUUCCUCCCUUUAGAGACGGACAGCAGGGGGGCGAAGCUCAGGUGCCAGGAGAGAGGCUCAGGACCCGGUCUGUGAUGGGAGGCUGCCUGAGCCUGGCCUGCCAGGGAGGCGGUGAGGGAAGUGGGUGGGGAGGGUGGGGAGAAGAGCCAACCCUUUGAACUGCCCCAAGAGCAGCCUCUGUGGCCCCAGGAGACAGCGCCUCAAAUGUCGCUGCCCCGGGCCAGGGAAGGGGGAAGAGGAGGUUUCUUAACACCAGUCACUUUUACUCUAGUUAUUUGACCAAAACGAAUUGUUCUUAGAAGGAAGAAGAAGAAGAAAAAAACAACAACAAACAAAAAACCAAAAAACCCACCACUGAGGUCACUUCUAUUACCCGAGCAGCUGAGGGAAAGAUCCUGCGAGCAGAUAACGUACCUGGGCCAGGGCUCUCCCCCAGCCCUCACCCCCUGCACAUAAUCUCGCCGCCUGGCCACCCUGCACCCAAACCCCAGCUGCUGCCUUGGCAUCCUGGAAGGUUCUAGAAGGCCGUUCCAAGUAAGGAGGGGUGGGCCCAGGGGAGGCCUAGAGGAGCAGGCCUGGGCUCAGCCCCACACACCCGGUCUUGCUGGGUCUCUGCUUCCCCAAAUGAGGGGACCCUCGGGAUGUUAAACUGUGUGAAAGUGCUUGGCAGUGACCACUAGCCAGCCUUCAGGCUGGGGUCCUGGAGAGAAGGGAAAAGGGAGUUAGGGAGGGUUUCCGAGAAGAGGUUACACCGCAGCAAUUUAGAACAUGAAAUCAGUUGACUACAUCUGCUCUUAGAAUCCUUUAGGUUCCUUUUCUUUUUUCCUUUUCCUUUUUUUUUUUCUUCCCCCUUCGGCUUUCACAGCAUAUGGAAGUUCCCAGGCUAGGGGUGAAAUUGGAGCUGCAGCUGCAGGCCUACACCACAGCCACAGCAACUGGGGAUUCAAGCCUUGUCUGCAACCACCACCGGAUUCCUGACCCACUGAGCGAGGCUAGGGAUCGAACCUGCAUCC